rnacentral:lncRNA from 1 species
ACAUCAAGCUAAUAUACCAGAACAGCAAUGAAGCUAUGUCGAGAUAUAGGCAUUGUAUAGAUACUGUUGCAUACAUGUCAUAGAAAGAUAUGGAUUGUAAACCUUAACGAUGCACGAGAACCACAAGAACAAACAAACUAAACAUACCACCUACUGUUCACCAGGUGGAACAAUGUCUGAGACCAGAAGCAUGGAAUUAUAAUCUUGGAAGGUACAGACACAUAUAAAAAUUGGCAAAGAACUGAGUACAGAGAUUAAAAAUAUACAAAAGGAAGUCUGCCUUAGAACAUCUCAUCAGGGAGGAACCAGAAUUUUCUAAUAGAACCAACAGCAAAACUAGUAACACUUUGGAUCUUCUGCUACGUGAAAAUGAAAAUGACUCGACUUAAGGGAGCAUCUACACGCGUUUACACCUUCUAACUAGAAGAAGGACAGAUUUGAGAUUCUAAAUCACCAAAGAGAUAUAGGACAAUGAAUAAGAAUCUAUAGUCAGGUUUUAGUUGAACCGCUUAUGCCAUACCGCCAGGGAUACAAGCUUGAAUCAAUCUACUAGCUAAACAUGGAGAGAAUUAAACGUGUUUUAAGGAGAAUUAAAUCUGACACGCCGAGCAGAUCCUCAGCUACGCUGCAAAAGUUCACGAUCUAUAGUCACUCCAUCCAGCUCAAAGUAAGGUAACAGAAGAUCAACAAAAGGGAACUGGAUUUGUUCAAGCUACCACCUUUUCCACCUUAAAACCCAUGGAUCGAGCAAAACCAGAAACCAACAAUAAAUUUCGUUCAAGGGUUUAGCCAAUUCGAAGCCGACAGAAGCAUCAACAACUCCAACACGGCGCCGACCAUCGAGAUCGGCUCGAAUCAUUCAUUCUCGAAACAAGCAAAACAGAGCUGUAACCAGGGAAAAAGAACGGAUACUUUGUACCAAUACAAGUUGCAGGCAACGCACAAGACGAACGCGGAUCAAAAACAUCAAACGGAAGAAAAGAUUGCUCACCGU